GUCGGCGUGGCCAAACGGCGAGGCGGAGCCGGUGAUAUCGGCUUCGACAAUCAGGGCAUCAGCCUGUUUCAGGCGGGUCGCCAGCG
rnacentral:tRNA from 1 species